UCAUGAAUAUUCCACAAUGGACGAAAGUCUGAUGGAGCGACGCCGCGUGCAGGAAGACGCCCCUCGGGGUGUAAACUGCUUUUAUAAGGGACGAAUUCGUGACGGUACCUUAUGAAUAAGUGGUUGCUAACUCUGUGCCAGCAGCAGCGGUAAUACAGAGACCACAAACGUUAUCCGGAGUUAUUGGGCGUAAAGGGUCCGCAGGUGGUUGUGUUAGUCAGUGGUUAAAUCCCAGCGCUUAACGUUGGGGCUGCCAUUGAUACUGCACAACUUGAGAUCGGGAGAGGUAUACGGAACGCACGGUGUAGUCGUAAUAAGCGUUGAUAUCGUGCGGAACACCAAAGGCGAAGGCAGUAUACUGGAACGAUUCUGACACUCAGGGACGAAAGCGUGGGGAGCG
rnacentral:rRNA from 1 species